rnacentral:rRNA from 1 species
UAGGGAAUCUUCCGCAAUGGGCGAAAGCCUGACGGAGCAACGCCGCGUGAGUGAUGAAGGUCUUCGGAUCGUAAAACUCUGUUAUUAGGGAAGAACAAAUGUGUAAGUAACUAUGCACGUCUUGACGGUACCUAAUCAGAAAGCCACGGCUAACUACGUGCCAGCAGCCGCGGUAAUACGUAGGUGGCAAGCGUUAUCCGGAAUUAUUGGGCGUAAAGCGCGCGUAGGCGGUUUUUUAAGUCUGAUGUGAAAGCCCACGGCUCAACCGUGGAGGGUCGUUGGAAACUGGAAAACUUGAGUGCAGAAGAGGAAAGUGGAAUUCCAUGUGUAGCGGUGAAAUGCGCAGAGAUAUGGAGGAACACCAGUGGCGAAGGCGACUUUCUGGUCUGUAACUGACGCUGAUGUGCGAAAGCGGGGGGAUCAAACAGG